GGGCCUGUAGCUCAGCUUGGAUAGAGCACACAGCUUAAAAACUGGCUUGAUUGCCUUCUAACUUUUGAAGUUAGCAAGGGGUCGCGAGUUCAAAUCUCGUCAGGCCCG
rnacentral:tRNA from 1 species